AACGAACGCUGGCGGCAGGCUUAACACAUGCAAGUCGAACGCCCCGCAAGGGGAGUGGCAGACGGGUGAAUAACGCGUGGGAACGUGCCCUUCGCUUCGGAAUAGCCCCGGGAAACUGGGAGUAAUACCGAAUACGCCGUAUUGGGAAAGAUUUAUCGGCGAAGGAUCGGCCCGCGUUAGAUUAGCUAGUUGGCGGUGUAAUGGACCACCAAGGCUACGAUCUAUAGCUGGGCUGAGAGGAUGAUCAGCCACACGGGGACUGAGACACGGCCCAGACUCCUACGGGAGGCAGCAGUGGGGAAUCUUGGACAAUGGGCGCAAGCCUGAUCCAGCCAUGCCGCGUGAGUGAAGAAGGCCUUAGGGUUGUAAAACUCUUUCGCCGGAGAAGAUAAUGACGGUAUCCGGAGAAGAAGCCCCGGCUAACUUCGUGCCAGCCGCCGCCGUAAAAC
rnacentral:rRNA from 1 species